UACGUAGGUGGCAAGCGUUGUCCGGAUUUACUGGCGUAAAGAGCGCGCAGGCGGUCGUCCAAGUCGCGUGUGAAAGCCCCGGCUCAACUGGGAGGGUCACGCGAUACUGGUCGACUCGAAGGCAGGAGAGGAAGUGGAAUUCCGGUGUAGUGUGAAAUGCGUAGAGAUGUGGAGGAACACCAGUGGCGAAGCGACUCUUGGUCUGUAACUGACGCUGAGCGCGAAGCGUGGAGCAACAG
rnacentral:rRNA from 1 species